rnacentral:rRNA from 1 species
AUUGAACGCUGGCGGCAGGCCUAACACAUGCAAGUCGAGCGAGCGGCGGACGGGUGAGUAAUGUCUUGGAAACUGCCUGAUGGAGGGGGAUAACUACUGGAAACGUUAGCUAAUACCGCAUACCAUCAGAUUUGCCCAGAUGGGAUUAGCUGGGAGGUGGGGUAACGGCUCACCUAGGCGACGAUCCCUAGCUGGUCUGAGAGGAUGACCAGCCACACUGGCACUGAGACACGGGCCAGACUCCUACGGGAGGCAGAAGUGGGGAAUAUUGCACAAUGGGCGCAAUCCUGAUGCAGCCAUGCCGCGUGUGUGAAGAAGGCCUUCGGGUUGUAAAGCACUUUCAGCGGGGAGGCGUUACCCGCAGAAGAAGCACCGGCUAACUCCGUGCCAGCAGCCGCGGUAAUUC